GGGUAUCCAGAUUCUACAAUUCCUGGUUAGCCCCAGGAAAGCUCACAAUUGUUUUCAAGCCAUGAGGGAAGGCAACUGCAGGAUUCCUUGUACUCGGUUGGAGGACAGCCUCCUAGACCCGUGUGUCAUCUGAACUCCAGGGAUGGGAAGAUACCAUGAUGUAAAGCAAUCCAAGCCUGUGCCUUUGAGACCGGGAACCUGGCAAAAUAGCUCCAAGCCUAAUCCUCUUAAGGUGAUAUAAGUCACUGAUUCCUUCCUCUAGUCCUCCAUAAGAACAGUUUAAAGUGUCUCCAAAGACUCCACCUUGAAGAGAGGGGCAUUAAGGAACUUGUGGACAGAUUUUUAAAACGCUACCACCUCUAUUAAGGACAUUAUAAGAAGCAGACCUCUGAAAUUCAUAUUUCUCACUGGAGCCAAAAUAGCUAUGUUUACCUUGAGCACCCAGUUUGCUUUUAUUUUUUUAUGUUGUGACUCACUCUGUAAAUUGUGUUUCCCUCUUUUCUCAGCUGUCAAGAAGCUCAAAAUAAAAAUUUGGCUUACCUC
ensembl:lncRNA